GUUUGUUUGAUUUUGUUAACUUUAUUUAAUUUAUGAACUCAACUCAUACGGCACAAGCUUAGCUUAUAGGAUGAGUUUGCAACUUUAUGUUACUUUGUUACUGGUUUUUUUUAUUCUGUAAUUUUGGUUGCUUCAAUAUAUAUUAUUAUUAUUUAUUUAAUAAUUUAAAUAAUAUUUAAAUUCAAUUGUGUGUACAGUUAUAACUCUCUAUAACGGUGUCCUCGUAAGGCGGAAAUCUCCUUAAAACUGAAAACAACAGUAGCUUUGACCUGGUGGACGCCCUUCCAGCUUAAGGAGGUUUCACUGUAUUAUAUUAAUUUAUUAUUAUUAUUGUAUUAUUGUUAUAUUUUUUAUUUUCGCCUUUUUUUUUUUUU